rnacentral:rRNA from 1 species
UACGUAGGGGGCAAGCGUUGUCCGGAUUAUUGGGCGUAAAGAGCGUGUAGGCGGCUAGAUAGGUCCGUUGUGAAAACUCGAGCUCAACCUCGAGACGCCGGUGGAAACCAUCUAGCUAGAGUCCGGAAGAGGAGAGUGGAAUUCCUGGUGUAGCGGUGAAAUGCGCAGAUAUCAGGAAGAACACCCGUGGCGAAGGCGGCUCUCUGGGACGUGACUGACGCUGAGACGCGAAAGCGUGGGGAGCGAACAGG